GAUGAACGCUGGCGGCGUGCCUAAUACAUGCAAGUCGAGCGAACACACGAUGAGCUUUCUCCUCUGACGUUAGCGGCGGACGGGGGAGUAACAAGUGGAUCACCUUCCUAUUAUACUUGGAUAACUUCGGGGAACCGGUGCCACUACCGGAUAACAUGUUGAACCGGUUGAUUCAACAGUGCUACACGCUCUUGCCGUCACUUAUAGAUGGAUCCGCGCCGCAUUAGCUAGUUGGUAAGGUAACGGCUUACCAAGGCAACGAUGCGUAGCCGACCUGAGAGGGUGAUCGGCCACACUGGAACUGAGACACGGUCCAGACUCCUACGGGAGGCAGCAGUGGGGAAUCUUCGACAAUGGGCGAAAGCCUGACGGAGCAACGCCGCGUGAGUGAAGAAGGUCUUCGGGUCGUAAAGCUCUUUUAUUGGGGAAGAAAAAAUGUGUAAGUAACCAUGCACGUCUUGACGGUACCUAAACAGAAAGCCACGGCUAACUACGUG
rnacentral:rRNA from 1 species